CUGACUUCUACAAGCAUUUGAACUCGCACUUAUUGAGGCUGAAUCUGGAUAAUUGAAUAGGCCUUUCAUAACAGGAGAGACGAAGUACAGGUUCAAAUAUAAGAGUAAAAGCCUUUGGAGAAUGAAAGCCAGAUCUCCUGUGGAGGGAAACCAAGCUUUUCCUGGGAUGAGUGAUCAAAAAAUGGAAGGACUCCGAGUCCUAGCUUCUUUUGCUUUGCUGGCCAGAAACCAAAUAUUUCUAAAGAGGCAGGCUUGGCAUUAUCUACUUUCAUAGGACCACCUGGAUACAGUCAAG